AUUGAACUCUGGCGGCAGGCCUAACACAUGCAAGUCGAACGAGUGGCGGACGGGUGAGUAAUGUCUGGGAAACUGCCUGAUGGAGGGGGAUAACUACUGGCAACGGUAGCUAAUACAGCAUACCAUCAGAUCUGCCCAGAUUGGAUUAGCUUGUUGGUGGGGUAACGGCUCACCAAGGCUACGAUCCCUAGCUGGUCUGAGCGGAGGACUAGCCACACUGGAACGUAGAAACGGUCCAGAUGCCUACGGUAGGCAUCAGUGGGGAAUCUUGCACAAUGGGCGCAAGCCUGAUGCAGCCAUGCCGCGUGUAUGAAGAAGGCAUUCGGGUUGUAAAGGACUUUCAGCGGGGAGGCGUUACCCGCAGAAGAAGCACCGGCUAACUCCGUGCCAGCAGCCGCGGUAAUUC
rnacentral:rRNA from 1 species